AUAAUCAAUUGUUUUUUAAUUUAAAUCUAGAAUGAAUGGUUUAACGAAAUAUUAACUGUCUCAAAUUUAAUAAUAUUUGAAUUUAAAUUUUUAGUAAAAAUGCUGAAAAUAUAUUUAAAAGACGAGAAGACCCUAUAGAAUUUUAUAAUUUAUGUUUAUAUAAUUUAUUUAAAUUUUGAAUAUAUAUAUAUAUACACACAUUAUUUAAUUGGGGAAAUUUUAAAAAAAAAUUUUUAAUUAAUUUUAACAAAAAUUAUUGAAUUUUUGAGUAUUUAUUAAUAAAUAAAAGAUAAAAUUACCUUAGGGAUAACAGCAUAAUUUUUUUUGAAAGUUCAAAUUGAUAAAAAAGAUUAU
rnacentral:rRNA from 1 species